UGGGGAAUUUUGGACAAUGGGCGAAAGCCUGAUCCAGCAAUGCCGCGUGUGUGAAGAAGGCCUUCGGGUUGUAAAGCACUUUUGUCCGGAAAGAAAUCCUUGGCUCUAAUACAGUCGGGGGAUGACGGUACCGGAAGAAUAAGCACCGGCUAACUACGUGCCAGCAGCCGCGGUAAUACGUAGGGUGCAAGCGUUAAUCGGAAUUACUGGGCGUAAAGCGUGCGCAGGCGGUUUGCUAAGACCGAUGUGAAAUCCCCGGGCUCAACCUGGGAACUGCAUUGGUGACUGGCAGGCUAGAGUAUGGCAGAGGGGGGUAGAAUUCCACGUGUAGCAGUGAAAUGCGUAGAGAUGUGGAGGAAUACCGAUGGCGAAGGCAGCCCCCUGGGCCAAUACUGACGCUCAUGCACGAAAGCGUGGGGAGCAAACAGGAUUAGAUACCCUGGUAGUCCACGCCCUAAACGAUGUCAACUAGUUGUUGGGGAUUCAUUUCCUUAGUAACGUAGCUAACGCGUGAAGUUGACCGCCUGGGGAGUACGGUCGCAAGAUUAAAACUUCAAAGGAAUUGACGGGGU
rnacentral:rRNA from 1 species